rnacentral:rRNA from 1 species
GGGGUGGCUUCCAUCUGGAGAAUCUGGAGACAGGUGCUGCAUGGCUGUCGUCAGCUCGUGUCGUGAGAUGUUGGGUUAAGUCCCGCAACGAGCGCAACCCUUGCCUUUAGUUGCCAGCAGUUCGGCUGGGCACUCUAAAGGGACUGCCGGGUGUUAAACCGGAGGAAGGUGGGGAUGACGUCAAGUCCUCAUGGCCUUUAUGACCAGGGCUACACACGUACUACAAUGGCCGAUACAAAGGGCAGCGACACUGCGAGGUGAAGCCAAUCCCGUAAAAUCGGUCUCAGUCCGGAUUGGAGUCUGCAACUCGACUCCAUGAAGUUGGAAUCGCUAGUAAUCGUGGAUCAGCAUGCCACGGUGAAUACGUUCCCGGGCCUU